rnacentral:lncRNA from 1 species
AAUAGGUCUUCACCAAAAUUAUUAAUUCCAUAAUAUCUUUUUUGUUUUGUUUUGUUUUAUUUUUUUUUUUUCAAAAAAGGUUUCUCUGUAUUGCCCUGGCUGUCCUGAAACCCACUCUGCCUGCCCCUGCUUCCCAAGUGCUGGGAUUACAUUCCCUGAAAAAAAAAGUGACUUUUACAAUGUGCCCCAAAUGCAAGGGUACCCACAUUUGUAAAAGAAAUAAUACUGAAGCUCAAAGCACACAUUAAACCUUAUAAAAUACUAGUAGGAGUUUUUAACACCUCAGUUUCACCAAUGAACAAAUCAUGGAAACAAAAACUAAACAGAGACACAAUGAAAGUAACAGAAGUUAUCCACCAAAUUGACUUAACAGAUAUUUACAGAGCAUUCUACCCUAAAACAAAAGAAUAUACCUUCUUCUCAGCAUUUCACAAUACCUUCUCCAAAACUGACCAUAUAAUCAGAUACAAAACAAGUCUCAGCCAAUCCAAGAAGACUGAAAUAAUCCCAUGCAUCUUUUCAGAUCACUGUGGACUAAGGUUGGUAUUAACAAUGACAAAAAAAAAAAAGGAGAGAAGGCAGGAUGAAAGCUGAACAACCACUCAAUGAUUAAUAGGCCAGGGAAAAAAAUAGAGAAAGAAAUUAAAGACUGUUUAGAAUUUAACAAAAAUGAAGACAAAACAUAUCCAAACUUAUGGGAUAUGAUGUAGGCAGUGCUAAGAGGAAAACUCAGCCCUGAGUGCCUCUAUAAAGAUGUUGGAGAGAUCAUACACUAACAGCUUAACAACACAUCUGACUCUAGAACAAAAAGAAGUAAAUACACCCAAAAGAAGUAGACAGCAUAAUGUAAUCAAACUCAGGGCUGAAAUCAACAAAGUAGAAACAAAGAGAAUUACAUAAAGAAUUAACAUAACCAGGAACUGCUUCUUUGACAGAAUGAACAAGAUAGAUAAACUCUUAGCCAAACUAACCAGAGGGCACAGAAACAACCAAAUUAACACAAACAGAAAUGAAUAGGGAGUCAUAACAAGAGAAACUGAAGAAAUUAAAAAUUAUCACCUCCUACUACAAAGGCCUAUACUCAACAAAAUUGGAAAAUCUAGAUGAAAUGGAUGAUUUUCUAGGGAGAUAACAGAUACCAAAGUUAAAUCAGGAACAGAUAAACCAUUUAAACAGUCUCAUAACCCCUAAAGAAAUAGAAGCAAUCAUUAAAAGUCCUCCAUCCAAAAAAAUUCCCAGGGCCAGAUGGUUUUAGUGUAUAAUUCUAUCAAAACUUCAAAGAAGACCUAAUACAAAUACUUCUCAAACUAUUUCAUAAAAACAAAACCAGAAGGAACACUUCCUAAUACAUUCUAUGAAGCCACCAUUACACUGAUAACUAAACC